rnacentral:piRNA from 1 species
UGAACUUAGCAAAAGUAUUUA